rnacentral:misc_RNA from 1 species
UGGUUCUGGCAUCGAUGAAGAACGCAGCGAAAUGCGAUAAGUAAUGUGAAUUGCAGAAUUCAGUGAAUCAUCGAAUCUUUGAACGCACAUUGCGCCCUCUGGUAUUCCGGGGGGCAUGCCUGUUCGAGCGUCAUUACAACCCUCAAGCUCUGCUUGGUAUUGGGCGCCACCUUAGGUGUGCCUUAAACUUAGUGGCAGUGCCAGCAGGCUUCAAGCGUAGUAACACUUCUCGCUUUGGAGUUCUGCUGUGCUACUUGUCGAAACCCAUUUUCAAAGGUUGACCUCGGAUCAGGUAGGGAUACCCGCUGA